AUUGAACGCUGGCGGCAGGCCUAAAACAUGCAAGUCGAGCGGAGCGGCGGACGGGUGAGUAAUGCCUAGGAAUCUGCCUGGUAGUGGGGGAAAACGUCCGGAAACGGGCGCUAAUACCGCAUACUAUCAGAUGAGCCUAGGUGGGAUUAGCUAGAUGGUGGGGUAAAGGCCUAACAAGGCGACGAUCCGUAACGGGUCUGAGAGGAGGAGCAGUCACACAUGAACUGAGACACGGUCCAGACUCCUACGCGACGUACAAGUGGGUAACAUUGGCCAAUGGGCGAAACCCUUAUCCAGCCAUGCCGCGUGUGUGAAGAAGGUCUUCGGAUUGUAAAGCACUUUAAGUUGGGAGGCGUUACCAACAGAAUAAGCACCGGCUAACUUCGUGCCAGCAGCCGCGGUAAUUC
rnacentral:rRNA from 1 species